rnacentral:rRNA from 1 species
ACGUAGGGUGCAGGCGUUAAUCGGAAUUACUGGGCGUAAAGCGUGCGCAGGCGGCUUCCUAAGUCAGAUGUGAAAUCCCCGGGCUUAACCUGGGAAUUGCGCUUGAAACUAGCGGGCUUGAGUGCGGCAGAGGGGGGUGGAAUUCCACGUGUAGCAGUGAAAUGCGUAGAGAUGCGGAGGAACACCGAUGGCGAAGGCAGCCCCCUGGGAUAACACUGACGCUCAUGCACGAAAGCGUGGGGAGCAAACAGGA